rnacentral:rRNA from 1 species
AUUGAACGCUGGCGGAAUGCUUUACACAUGCAAGUCGAACGGCAGCACGGACUUCGGUCUGGUGGCGAGUGGCGAACGGGUGAGUAAUGUAUCGGAACGUGCCCAGUCGUGGGGGAUAACGUAGUGAAAAUUACGCUAAUACCGCAUACGAUCUAUGGAUGAAAGCGGGGGAUCGCAAGACCUCGCGCGCUUGGAGCGGCCGAUAUCAGAUUAGGUAGUUGGUGGGGUAAAGGCCCACCAAGCCAACGAUGUGUAGCGGUGAGGAUAGGACGACCAGCCACGCGGGAACUGAGACACGGACCAGACUCCGACGGGGGGCAGCAGUGGGGAAUUUUGGACAAUGGGCGAAAGCCUGAUCCAGCCAUUCCGCGUGCAGGAUGAAGGCCCUCGGGUUGUAAACUGCUUUUGUACAGAACGAAAAGGUUUCUACUAAUACUAGGAGCUCAUGACGGUACUGUAAGAAUAAGCACCGGCUAACUACGUGCCAGCAGCCGCGGUAA